rnacentral:rRNA from 1 species
GACGAACGCUGGCGGCGUGCUUAACACAUGCAAGUCGAACGAAGUGGCGAACGGGUGAGUAACGCGUAAUCAACCUGCCCUUCAGAGGGGGACCACAGUUGGAAACGACUGCUAAUACCGCAUACUGAAGGAGGGGAUUGCGUCUGCUUAGCUAGUUGGCGGGGUAACGGCCAACCAAGGCGAUGAUCAGUAGCCGGUCUGAGAGGAUGACCGGCCACAUGGGGACUGAGACACGGCCCAGACGCCUACGGGAGGCAGCAGUGGUGAGGAUUCCGCAAUGGACGAAAGUCGGACGGAGCAACGCCGCGUGAUUGAUGACGGCCUUCGGGUGGUAAAGCUCUGUUAAUCGGGACGCGGUACCGGAAUAGAAAGCCACGGCUAACUACGUGCCAGCAGCCGCGGUAAUAC